rnacentral:rRNA from 1 species
GCUGGCGGCAUGCCUUACACAUGCAAGUCGAACGGCAGCACGGGAGCAAUCCUGGUGGCGAGUGGCGAACGGGUGAGUAAUAUAUCGGAACGUGCCCAGUCGUGGGGAUAACGUAGCGAAAGCUACACUAAUACCGCAUACGAUCUAUGGAUGAAAGCGGGGGAUCGCAAGACCUCGCGCGAUUGGAGCGGCCGAUAUCAGAUUAGGUAGUUGGUGAGGUAAAGGCUCACCAAGCCGACGAUCUGUAGCUGGUCUGAGAGGACGACCAGCCACACUGGGACUGAGACACGGCCCAGACUCCUACGGGAGGCAGCAGUGGGGAAUUUUGGACAAUGGGCGCAAGCCUGAUCCAGCAAUGCCGCGUGCAGGAUGAAGGCCUUCGGUUGUAACUGCUUUGUUACGGAACGAAACGGUGAGCUCUAAUACAGUUUGCUAAUGACGGUACCGUAAGAAUAAGCACCGGCUAACUACGUG